rnacentral:lncRNA from 1 species
AGAUGACCCUGUUUACGUCUGCUGAGCCAAUUCCAAACAGCAACAGUAGUGAAAACUUCUGUCGGGAGAGACUUCUCAACUACUGGUGUAGAGAGAACAAAUCUUCACUUUGUAUAAUGCGAGGACUUUAAGAAGUUUUGGGAAAUGGCUGAGAGGAAAAAAACACAAGGAAGCCAGCAGCCUGCCCCAACUUCUCUAUUUUCUAAAGUAUCUCUUACCAGAGACCCCCGGUGGGGCUCGGGAUAAAGCUUGCAAGAAACAGAAAAUGCAAGGGCUGGUGGCAUGGUGCCACACCUACGGCAAGGAGAACUGAGGAAUAUGGUCCCUGUCUGGGCAGCCACUUCCCUGCAUCACCUGCACACUAUGGAAGGAAGCAUGAUAAGUGGACUGCUAACCAUCUCUGGAUACAAGGGUAGCCGGCUCCACGCACUGACCGCAGCUCUGAGGCUGACACUUCCCUGAAGACCCAGAGUGUGGAUCGUCAGUCAGGACUUCCAUCUUGCUCCCGCAGCCCUUCUGCAUGAGUGAAGUCAAGUGAGCGUGAGGCCGUUCACCACUCUCCUGGUCUUUUCCAUUUCUCACUUGGUGCUCCCCUCAGUAGCAGCACAUGCCUCUAAGCCCCUGUGUAUUCAUUCUGCCAAGAAAGUCCCAGUGCUGUAGUGCCACGCGAUUGGCCGAGAUGGCUAAGAUACCCCAACUCACUCAAUUCCCUCCUUCUCCUAUCACUAGACUGCAGGGGAACCAUUUUCAUUCCAAUGGUGUUAUUUUCCUGCCCCGUGUACCUCUUUCCCUUUCAGCUUUUACCCAGGAUCUUGCCAGUCUUUCUUACUGGAAAUUCCCGUCCUCAACCCCCUCCCCUUUGGGAGGUAGGAAGUCAUUUUUGCUGACUCAUUUGUCCUCUGCCCUUCUGCUGCCCCACGUUGCUUCCCCCUUUCUCCAGAGCCACUGGAGUCUUCUCCACAAGGUUUACUUUGCGGCCUUUAUGGAAACCAGCCCCUCUACUCUUUUGGGAUUUGGAGUUUCAGAGCGAGUUCCUGUUGGCUCCGGGCCCACUGUUCACCUGGGCUUCUGGCUUGCUUACGGUCCUACCUAUUUAUCAGAGGUGACAGCCUGCUGGCAGUCCUCAGAGCCCUCGCUUGCUCUCGGCACCUCCCCUGCCUGGGCUCCCACUUUGGUGGCAUUUGAGGAGCCCUUCAGCCCCCACUGCACUGUGGGAGCCCCUUUCUGGGCUGGCCAAGGCCGGAGCCCACUCCCUCAGCUUGCAGGGAGGUGUGGAGGGAGAGGCACGAGUGGGAACCGGGGCUGCGUGCGGCCUUGUGGGCCAGCUGGAGUUCCAGGUGGGCGUGGGCUUGGUGGGCCCCGCACUCGGAGCAGCCAGCCAGCCCUGCUGGCCCCGGGCAAUGGGGGACUUAGCACCCAGGCCAGCGGCUGCGGAGGGUGUACUCGGUCCCCCAGCAGUGCCGGCCCACCGGUGCUGUGCUCGAUUUCUCGCUGGGCCUUAGCUGCCUUCCCGCGGGGCAGGGCUCGGGACCUGCAGCCCGCCAUGCCUGAGCCUCCCACCCCCUCCGUAGGCUCCUGUGCGGCCCGAGCCUCCCCGACGAAUGCCGCCCCCUUCUCCACGGCGCCCAGUCCCAUCGACCACCCAAGGGCUGAGGAAUGCGAGCGCACGGCGCAGGACUGGUAGGCAGCUCCACCUGCAGCCCCAUUGCGGGAUCCACUAGGUGAAACCAGCUGGGCUCCUGAGUCUGGUGGGGACGUGGAGAGUCUUUAUAUCUAGCUCAGGGAUUGUAAACACACCAAUCAGCACCCUGUGUUUAGCUCAAGGUUUGUGAGUGCACCAAUCGACACUCUGUAUCUAGCUGCUCUGGUGGGGCCUUGGAGAACCUGUGUGUGGAAACUCUGUACCUAACUAAUCUAAUGGGGACGUGGAGAACCUUUGUAUCUAGCUCAGGGAUUGUAAACGCACCAAUCAGCGCCCUGACGAAACAGGCCACUCGGCUCUACCAAUCAGCAGGAUGUGGGUGGGGCCAGAUAAGAGAAUAAAAGCAGGCUGCCCAAGCCAGCAUUGGCAACCCGCUCGGGUCCCCUUCCAGGCUGAUAGAAGCUGUGUUCUUUCGGUCUUUGCAAUAAAUCUUGCUAUUGCUCA